GCCUCUUUAGUUCAGCGGCUAGAACAGCGGACUUUUAAUCCGCGUGGCACCGGUUCGAAUCCGGUAGGGGGCACGA
rnacentral:tRNA from 1 species